UUAACUCAAAUUUGUAUGCAGUUGGAACAGCGCCCCUAGCGGCAAAAGUAGGCAAACGUUGCAACUCCAUACAAAUUUGAGUUA
rnacentral:pre_miRNA from 1 species